UUACGGCCACGUCACGUUGAAACGCCGGUUCCUGUACGAUCAUCAAAGUUAAGCAACGUCGAGUCUAGUCAAUACCUAGAUGGGUGACCGUUUGGGAAUGUCAUGU
rnacentral:rRNA from 1 species